UCGUGGAUUACAAAUAAGGAAAAACUAAUCGUCUACAUUUGAAGUGGUCUAUCGUGUACAUCUGCAAUUUCUAAGGGCUUGUCCGAUUAAUAUGUAACUCCCAAGUGAAAAUAGAAAUGUUAAAACAUGUGUAAUCUUAAACUGUUUCUUCCUGGAGUCAUUGUUUGUGAUGUUGCCUCCUUCUCUGCUUUAGACUUUCAACUAAUUAAUGUGUUCAAGAACUGAACCUCAUACUCAGAAGUCAAUAAAUCUAUGAACCCUCGAGACAUUACACAACUUAUUUAAUGAUUUAAAUGGAUCUUCCUUUCACUUAUUUUGGAUUAAACCUUCUGGUUUUGAUCCUUUGACAAAAUGGUUCUGUAUGGACGGAAGGAUACCUUCUUUUGAUUUAGGGCCACAGUGAGCUAUCCACGUACAGAAAGCACGGCAUAUCCUUCUUCUUUUGACUUCAGAGGAACACUGGUGCAUGCAUAAUCCUGUAUUUGGUGACUAUAAUAAGCCAAAGGCAGGAAACUGAUGCAGGCUAUCAUCCUCCAAUAACUCCAAUGCGUUCAGCUAAUGACGAUGCUUUGGGAAAUGGUGCAUGGAAACUGACUGUACCAGUACAUCUGCCAGCAUUUCCUGGGAACUCUCUCUCCGGAUUGCAAUUAUACAAGGUACAAGCUGGGCGGCGAUUUUUGUUUCCUACUCCUCUGGGUAUCCGCUUGAUAAGAGGGUAUCAAUGCAUAGAUUCUCAUCUCUGUUUGCCCGACAUACGAAGUUUCAUUGAGCACCAGAUCGAUUUGGUAGCUGAAGGUCAAGCAGAUCAUUCAAUAACUUGAUCAAUUGAGAAGGAAGUUCAGUUAUUUUGCUAAGCAGGUAUAAGAUUUUAAGCUUUUAUGUGAUGGCUCAUGGCGUUUUGCUGCUUUCCUUCUUACAAACUACAAACAAGCCGAUGUUCAUUAAUAAACACGAUUGAUGAUGCUUUUAUUCUUCCCUAAUCUGUAACGUGCUGAUUUUUCUUAAUUCGUAUUAUUCAAAGCUAAUUAAUUACCCAUUGAACCUCGUGGCUGGCUGGCUGGCUUCACGUAGCUAGAUUGAAAACAUGGAUGCAUUAUUUGAAGCACAAUUUUCUCCGCUCUCAGCA